rnacentral:rRNA from 1 species
UACGUAGGGUGCAAGCGUUGUCCGGAAUUAUUGGGCGUAAAGAGCUCGUAGGCGGUCUGUCGCGUCGGAUGUGAAAAUCCAGGGCUCAACCCUGGACCUGCAUUCGAUACGGGCAGACUAGAGUUCGGUAGGGGGGACUGGAAUUCCUGGUGUAGCGGUGAAAUGCGCAGAUAUCAGGAGGAACACCGGUGGCGAAGGCGGGUCUCUGGGCCGAAACUGACGCUGAGGAGCGAAAGCGUGGGGAGCGAACAGG